rnacentral:rRNA from 1 species
UACGUAGGGGGCUAGCGUUGUCCGGAAUCAUUGGGCGUAAAGCGCGCGUAGGCGGCCCGGUAAGUCCGCUGUGAAAGUCAAAGGCUCAACCUUUGAAUGUCAGCGGAUACUGCCGGGCUAGAGUCCGGAAGAGGCGAGUGGAACUCCUGGUGUAGCGGUGGAAUGCGCAGAUAUCUGGAGGAACACCGAUGGCGAAGGCAGCCCCUUGGGCUAACACUGACGCUCAUGCACGAAAGCGUGGGGAGCAAACAGG